AUGGCGCACGGGCAGGAGUCGUCGCCGACGCAGGCCGCCGGCGCCGGCACCGCAGUGCUGUGCGCGAACGGCUGCGGGUUCUACGGGAGCGCGGCGACCAAGAACAUGUGCUCCAAGUGCUACCGCGACCACCUCAAGGCCACCGACACCGACACGGCUGCCCCCGGCCCCACCGUCGAGGGGAAGACGAAGGUCAAGGAGGCCGCCGACGUGGCCAACCUCGCCUUAAACCUCAAGACGUCGCUGAGCCUGCAGGAUCACUCUGCAGCUGCCGCCGCCGAGGUGCCGACCGCCGAAGCGCCGGCGAAGAAGCUGACCAGGUGCAUGGCGUGCAAGAAGAAGGUGGGGCUGCUGGGGUUCGCUUGCAGGUGCGGUGGCACCUUCUGCUCGCUGCACCGCUACGUGGACGGGCAUGCGUGCGGCUUCGACUACAAGAAGGCCGGCCGUGAGAAGAUCGCGCAGCAGAACCCUCUCGUCGUGGCACCCAAGAUCCAGAACAAGAUUUGA
rnacentral:rRNA from 1 species